rnacentral:rRNA from 1 species
UGGGGGAUAUUGGACAAUGGGGGAAACCCUGAUCCAGCGACGCCGCGUGAGUGAAGAAGUAUUUCGGUAUGUAAAGCUCUGUCAGCAGGGAAGAAGAAAGUGACGGUACCUGACCAAGAAGCCCCGGCUAACUACGUGCCAGCAGCCGCGGUAAUACGUAGGGGGCAAGCGUUAUCCGGAAUUACUGGGUGUAAAGGGAGCGUAGACGGUAAUGUAAGUCUGGAGUGAAAGGCGGGGGCCCAACCCCCGGACUGCUCUGGAAACUAUGUUACUGGAGUGCAGGAGAGGUAAGCGGAAUUCCUAGUGUAGCGGUGAAAUGCGUAGAUAUUAGGAGGAACACCGGUGGCGAAGGCGGCUUACUGGACCGUAACUGACGUUGAGGCUCGAAAGCGUGGGGAGC